rnacentral:sRNA from 1 species
GCCGGGCGCCAGGGCUCACACCUGUAAUCCCAGUGACUCAGGAGGCUGAGGCAGGAGGAUCACAAAUUCAAAGCCAGCCUCAGCAACUUAGUGAGGCCCUAAGCAAUUUAGUGAGACCUUGUCUCAA